UGAUGGCAUCUAGCAUCUUUUGAGCAGAUAGUAUGUGCUAAGCACGAGUUAAUUUGUUCAAUCUUCGCAAGGUCCUAUGAGAUACAUAGUAUUAUUCUCUCCAUUUUACAGCUGAGGAAACUGAGGACCAGAGAGAUAUAACUCACCCAAGGCUAUAUCCCCAGGGAGUGGUGGGAACAGCAUUUAACCCAGGCAGUCUGGCUCCAGAGCCUGCUCUCAAAAUCACUGCACUGCCAUGAACGUGACGAUGCUACCCACUCCACAGGAUUGCUAUGAAGACUUUCCACUGAGGGAAUGUAUGCAAAGCAUUUAGUACAGCACCUGACACCAUCUACAUAGGACUCCACUGGGUGGAUGAACAACUCUUCAACCAAUCUCAUAUGUAUGUAACAGAGAUUCCAAGAUCCAAGAGGCAUGGCCAAGAUCAUGGACCUGGUAAACAGCAAAGCUGGAAUACAAACUCAGGCUUUUAAAAAGAAAACCCGCUCGUGUCCAGAUGACAGCCGUGGCUGCAGGGCACCCUCCGCUUGAAAGCCAGACUCCCCCCUCGCUUCUCAGCCACGAUGCGAAAAGGGAGGUGCAGAGAGAUAAAGUGAUUUGCCCAAGUGGAGUCCAGACCGAACCCCGGGCUGCCAACCUCCAGGGCCAUCUCUAAAUUGCAGGGUUCUGUUGGGUGCUUUUAAGGUCGGAGAAUAACGCAAAUGACAUGCGUCCUCGGCUGACUGCUUGCCGUCUGUGAGACUGCUCAGUGGUGUGCAGGGGCAAGAACACACGAAGAUGGAGGAAGGGAUCGUGGAGGAGGGGGCAUUUGAGGUGAGAUGGGAAGGGUGGCUAGGAUAUUUCAAUAGGUGGCGCUUUGAGGGAAGGCAUAAAAGGAGGAGGGAACAGAAGUACAGAGGCCUGGAGGUGGGAAGGGGCAGGGGCUGUUCCAGGACAGCCUGC